rnacentral:tRNA from 1 species
GCGGGGGUUCCCGAGACCUCUAUGGGAUCCUGUCCUGUAGAUCCUGUGGCGUAGGCCUUCGUGGGUUCGAAUCCCACCCCCCGCA